rnacentral:rRNA from 1 species
CCUACGGGGUGCAGCAGUGGGGAAUAUUGGACAAUGGGCGAAAGCCUGAUCCAGCCAUGCCGCGUGUGUGAAGAAGGCCUUCGGGUUGUAAAGCACUUUCAGUGGGGAAGAAAGCCUUGGGGCUAAUACCCUCGAGGAAGGACAUCACCCACAGAAGAAGCACCGGCUAACUCCGUGCCAGCAGCCGCGGUAAUACGGAGGGUGCGAGCGUUAAUCGGAAUUACUGGGCGUAAAGCGCGCGUAGGCGGUCUGAUAAGCCGGUUGUGAAAGCCCCGGGCUCAACCUGGGAACGGCAUCCGGAACUGUCAGGCUAGAGUGCAGGAGAGGAAGGUAGAAUUCCCGGUGUAGCGGUGAAAUGCGUAGAGAUCGGGAGGAAUACCAGUGGCGAAGGCGGCCUUCUGGAAUGACACUGACGCUGAGGUGCGAAAGCGUGGGUAGCAAACAGGAUUAGAUACCCGGGUAGUC